AUUGAACGCUGGCGGCAUGCUUUACACAUGCAAGUCGAACGGUAACAGGCCUUCGGGUGCUGACGCGUGGCGGACGGGUGAGUAAUGCAUCGGAACGUACCCAGAGGUGGGGGAUAACGCAGCGAAAGCUGUCCUAAUCCCGCAUCUGAUCUGAGGAUCAGAUCGGGGGACCGGGCAGCAAUGUUUGGCCUCGCGCCUUUGGAGCGGCCGAUGUCGGAUUAGCUAGUUGGUGGGGUAAUGGCCUACCAAGGCGGCGAUCCGUAGCUGGUCUGAGAGGACGAUAGGCGACAUGGGGAGGGAGACAGGGCCAAGAGGCCUAAGGGAGGCAGCAGUGGGGAAUGUGGGACAAUGGGCGCAAGCCUGAUCCAGCAAGGCCGAGUGCGGGAAGAAGGCGUUCGGGUCGUAAACAGCGUUUGGGAGGAACGAAACGGUGUCCGCUAAUACCGGGCGCUAAUGACGGUACCGGCAGAAGAAGCACCGGCUAACUACGUG
rnacentral:rRNA from 1 species